GGAGAUUGCUAUGCGUAGAUUUGCUUUGUGGUGCACCGGACUGUAUGAUUACCGAAGUUCGGGGGGCUACGGUGCCGCAGACAUUUCGUAGCCACCAUUCGCUUCAACGGACAAAGCUUGCCAGGAUUUUCGUUAAAAUUUCGUGAACAACGAUUCCCACGAUUGCCGGUGCUGCUGCUAGAAAUUUCGCGACCGCCGCUCCAGGACUCGUGAACAGCCCGAAGUCCGAGAAUCUACGUUCCGGGAGCUUCUGUGAAAUUGAAUCGCGUGGCAUGUCGGAGAAAUUGAAAAAGGUUCAGCUUCACCUUUAAUUAUCGGCUACUGGUUCUUCUUUCGGGUAUUUAUAACAGCCCCUUACGCUGUUGCCGGUGAAGAAAAUAAAAGGCAACGGGCCGUCGAGAGGAGGUACUGGUUAUCCAAGCUUUGAAAGAAGAACUUUGCGAUUCAAACGACGAAGGGAACGAUGUUUUUAUACUUUAAUUGCUAGAAUCGGAUCCAUAAACUGGGAUACGCUCGCAGGAAAAAUUCACGGAUCAUUUGCGACGAACAGGCGAAACGAUAAUUUCGUUUUCAUUAAUGCGAAGACACGCUUUCCUUUACCAAUUCGAACUCCAAUUAUUUAUUACAGACACCUGUAACAGUAUUAUUAUUAUCCGUAAUAUCGCAGUAUUUAGGUUCCCUUCUGCGUGCGACGGUUAAUUAUAACGCGUGAAACUGGUUCAACAGAGUUGCUAAUACAUUCAACGAAGCUUGCAGCGAAUUUAUUCACGUCUCGUCAUACACCUUGCAUAAAGUAAACCAACCGAAUAUUAUCGAAGAAGUCGCGAUUUUAAACAAGGAAUUACUAUUUUAAUAAACCCUCGCAACGUACGUUUACCUCUUUAAUUCGAACGUUUACUGUAAUACAUCUUCGAAGACGUGUUAUUAUCUUAUUUCACUUUGAACAUGAAUGUAUGAAUUUUAAAAAAGUUAUACAAUUUUACUUUGUACAUAUUUAUUAAGUGUAUAAAGUAUAUAAUUAUGCAGGGCUGAAAUUGUAAAUAUAAAAGAGGGAAAUGUAGUGACACAAAAAAUAAUAUAUCAAGGUGUGAAAUUUUAAGUAUAACAUUGUCAACCAUAAUAAACAAAGGUUGAAAUAAUUAAUAA